GCAUGUGAUGGCCUUGGUUUCAGAGGUAAACAAUAAAAGCAGAUGGUCGUGUGCCAGCGAUUCACUUUUCAAGAACUUCUAGGGGCAGCCGGAGCAGGGUUCCAGAAUUCAGCUCCAAGCAGUAUAGGUACUGAGCCGUGCCAUAUGGCUGGGUUUUCUUGUUUUCUGGAGAGAGUGCUGUCUUUUGUUUGGCUUUUAAAAAAAAAAAACAAAAACUAGUUGUGUAGCUUCAGAGCAUGGCUAUCUGGCCUUUUUGGAGAUUACCCUACUAUCUAAAACUAUUUAAUAAUUUCCCUUGCCACUUAAAUUAUUCAAUUACCUUAAAUUAUUCAAUUACCUUAAAUUAUUCAAUUUUAAAAGCCAUAUGUCUGGAGAAAAUCACAAUUCAAAAAGAUACAUGCAUCUCAAUGUUCACAGCAGCUCUAUUUACAAAAGCUAGGACAUGGAAGCAACCUAGAUGUCCAUUUAUAGAGGAACGGAUAAGAAAGACGUGGUAUAUAUAUACAAUGGAAUACAACUCAGCAGCAGUUAAGCCGGCUGGCCUCCGUAAAGCCCCACUUCCAAGUCUUAUCACCCUGGAGACCAGAGCUUCAACAUAUGAACUGGGUGGGGGACACAAACAUUCAGUCUGGAGCAGACAGAGAAGUUGUUUUCAGGCUUCUUCCCCUUCAUGCCCCUCACCAGGCAGUCGCCUCCUGAGACUAUGUGAGGGAGUCCGCAGUCAUGAACUGCAGGGCGAGGUACUCCUUAGAUGCUACCUAAAACAUGGUGGAAUUCCCUCUGGCUCCCCUUCCAAUCUCAGGCUAUAA
rnacentral:lncRNA from 1 species